rnacentral:rRNA from 1 species
UUCCCCUUCGGGGGACAAAGUGACAGGUGGUGCAUGGUUGUCGUCAGCUCGUGUCGUGAGAUGUUGGGUUAAGUCCCGCAACGAGCGCAACCCUUAAGCUUAGUUGCCAUCAUUAAGUUGGGCACUCUAAGUUGACUGCCGGUGACAAACCGGAGGAAGGUGGGGAUGACGUCAAAUCAUCAUGCCCCUUAUGAUUUGGGCUACACACGUGCUACAAUGGACAAUACAAAGGGUAGCGAAACCGUGAGGUCAAGCAAAUCCCAUAAAGUUGUUCUCAGUUCGGAUUGUAGUCUGCAACUCGACUACAUGAAGCUGGAAUCGCUAGUAAUCGUAGAUCAGCAUGCUACGGUGAAUACGUUCCCGGGUCUUGUACACACCGCCCGUCACACCACGAGAGUUUGUAACACCCGAAGCCGGUGGAGUAACCUUUUAGGAGCUAGCCGUCGAAGGUGGGACAAAUGAUUGGGGUGAAGUCGUAACAAGGUAGCCGUAUCGGAAGGUGCGGCUGGAUCACCUCCUUU